AUGUUAACUUUUAUCGAGAUUGUAGUAUAAGCGUACUUAUGUAUAUUUAAUAUGUAGGAUAUUUUAAUAUGUUUGUAAUAAGUACACAUAAUUGGUAUAUUUAUACUUUGUCUUUAAUUAUAAUUAUCCGUGUAUAGUACGGGGUUACUGUAUAAAUUUAGUCGGUCACCAAUUAACCUUCAAUCUGAAGAUCCUCAUUAACUUUUUGCAUUACUCAGAAUUAUUUGUUUCGUCGAUUAACAAAUUUCCCCCGUGCUUUCUAAGAAAAUUAUGCAACAAUUACGCAUCUUGCCUUUUUUUCCUGCUCAAUUACGAUAAUUCAUCGUACGUAAAAUAAUAGAUUACCUUAUGAAGGAUAUACCAAAGUUUCCAUUGUUUGCAUAUACAAUAAAUAAUAGUGUGUGUCAUUGUUAUAUAUAUUAAAAGGUAUUUUUGUUGCUUUUGUGCUACUUCAUCUACGAGAAGAACAACAUACGCAUGCAUAUCAAGACAUUCGGUCGUGUUCCAUCGUGAAUUUUCCUUUUUUCAAUCCCAUUCCCUCUCUUGGCGUAAGAACAGCACAAAACAAUAUCGGUAACGAUAUGAACAACCAAGAGAAAAAGAAGACAGCGCGAAAAGGGCGGAAAAGAAAAGGAACAGAGGUAGGAAAAAAGUUCGAUUACGCGGCGUCAUCGGACCAGCAUUGGUGCGUUUCACGGCUGUUUGCGUCGAUUCCUUUUUUCCUUUUCUGGCGCGCAUUUCACACCGCCAACUUUAAUGAGAUACGCACGGAGGUGUGCAUUAUCGACUCGUGGGGCAGGGGAGCGUAGCCGGUCGCUUUGCCCGGCGGAACGCGAUUGUCGCCGUUGAAAUUUUCAUGCGCGACUUGUCCGAACCUAUGUAUAAGUUGCGUAUACACUUCAACGACCAUGGAGACGGCCACAGUUUCACCAGGCUUGUCGUGUCCCGAGAAUUCUCACGUUAUCUUUUUCCUCUUCUCUUUGUUUCUUCUCUUGCUACAUUUUUCUCCUACCUUCAUCCUCUUGUUACAUUUUUCUUCUUCCUUCAUCCUCUUGCUACAUAUUUCUUCUUCCUUCAUCCUCUUGCCUACUUUAUUUUUCGUUGCGCGCAUGUAGCCGUGAUGCGAUUGUCUUACUUUAUGCGCUACACGAUGACGCAACUUUGCGCGAUAUGCUUAUUAACCCUUAGCGGAUGAAACGAAGCUGAAAAACGUCGGUAUUUAUAAAACUAUUCCAAACUUAUAAAAAUAAUCCGCUGUGUGUCAGCUACAGUUACGCUUAUUAGGAAAGAAAUUUUGAGAUGUAAAGAUAUUUUCCCGGCAAUCGUUACCGGCGGAUCGGAUUAUGUUCGUUAAGGGUUGAAAGAUUAUUUCGUUAUAUACUUGUUUGUAAUAGUGUUUGAUCUUCAUAGUCGUUGCAUAACAAGCAAUGAUCUAAAUAAUGGUGAGAUUUUACAUCGAAAUUUAAAACAAGUAUAUAAAGAAAUAAUCUUUCAACCCUCAACGAAAAUAACCCGGUCCGUCUGUAACGAUUCCCGGGAAAAUAUCAAGCUCUUUGCAUCUCAAAACUUCUUUCCCUUCUUCUCUUUUUCCUUGUUCAAAGAUAAACGGUACUAGAAACCGAAUCCUCGGACGGGAUAUGAAUCACACGUCGGAAUCCAGUGCAAUCUGUCUGCCAGACGGUUUGCUUCCGGUGUCGUUUAUCGAGUACGCGGCGAUCGGAUAGAACACGCGUGGCUGUGUACUGUGUAUACACGCACACGAGGAAUCCCGAUGGAAUCCCGACGGAAUAGGCUAAGAGAGCACUUGAGGAUGCCUAGUCUCUGGCAGUGAAUGGCGGCACGAGUGGCGGACAUUUCGGUGCCUCCAAAGCUCAUUGGUCCGCAGCUGACGUGUACAAGGAAAUGGCAUUUAACGGAUUAAAAGCGGCCAUCCAGACAACUAACGCAAUGGUUCCCGAUAACGGCUGGCUAGAGCUAGAAUAUUUUUUCCCCGUUCCCCUUCUACCCUUUUCUUUCUUUUUUUUUGUUGUGUUUUUCUACUUUUUGCUUUUUGCUUCUAUUUUUCCCCGUGUUUCUUUUUUGAAUCGUUUUUUGGUUUCUCGUCGAGCAUUCGUUUUUUUUUUCAUCCCGGGCUCGCUUCGCUCGCGUACACGCGCGACCAGCCUAUUGAUUUCGCGCAAAGUGCCGGCCAUUCCAACCUACGAAUCACUUUACUUCGAUCGAACCAUCACCGAUAAGGAUAUCGACGAUACUCGCGAUUUCACGAAGAAACUCGAAGAAAAUGAUGGAUCGUGGCACUCGGUUAAAUGGAGAACACUCCUGCGGACGCAGAAAGGGUGUAUCAUAAUUUAAGACCUGUUCGCUGCGCUGAUGCUAGUUCGCUGAGUAGGUGUUACGAUUGAUGGUUGUUGGGAGUUUGAACAUGUUUUAUACGGUGAAGUUUUGUGGUUAACACCAGGUCUGGAGGAAUCAUUCUGAGAAUUUACGGCGAGCUUGUUGCCAAAACCACUGGUGUAAAGAAAGGGAACUCGCAGACAUAAAGGAGACGGAGACUUGCGACGAUAAUGGCCCUCUCAGACGAAGAAGUUAAUUUGGGAAAGAGGAUUCCGUCGCGGACAAAACGCUUGUAAUCCUUAACAAAGGGUGGUCUCAACUUCCCUAGCCUGCGUUGUCCCGAGGAUGGUAAUCUGCAAAGAGGGAGAACGGUCCCUCCAAGUUGAUUCUUCGUUCCUCGUGUUUGACAGUGGGGGAGGUUUGUUAUCGACGGACAACGUUUUAAGAAUUUUUGUUUGAUUGGAAUCAAAGGUGUCAAUAUAUGCAUUGCUUUUUAAUAAUAAUAUUGAUUUAAAGAGGAAGAAAUGAACUUUAUUGUAAAAAUAAAUUUCCCUUUUAUCGUAUUGAACAAUGUAUUUAUAUCUCUAUAUUGUUCAAGAUAAUUAAAGGAUUGUUUUCUGUGAUUUUUAUAUUCUUGUUUGAUUGGAAUCAAAGGUGUCAAUAUAUGCAUUGCUUUUUAAUAAUAAUAUUGAUUUAGGGAGGAAGAAAUGGACUUUAUUGUAAAAAUAAAUUUCCCUUUUAUCGUAUUGAACAAUGUGUUUAUAUCUCUAUACUGUUCAAGAUAAUUAAAGGAUUGUUUUCUAUGAUUUUUAUAUUCAUUACUUGUAAAUUUAUUAGUAUGUAUGCUUUAACCAUAAUUUUUAUUAUGAUUCAUCCUCUUGUAUUUAAUUUCUCAUGGUUUUUAGUUUUUAUAUUUAUAAAGCAUACAAUCAAGCCUUGAAAUGAAAAUAUAUUACACGUGCCGUAGGUAUACUACAUUCAUAAUAAAUAAUUAUAUCCCUUUCUUUCUGUUCUCCUCGAAACAAAUGUUUAUGCGUUGCUUAAGCUGCUCAUAUGGUUUGUUCAUUUUUUAUAAUUAUUAGGUUACAUAAGUGAAAAAUCUCUACGUAAAUGGAGCAACUCUUAAAAUGCUAACAAAUGCAUUUAUGUAUUUUUUCAUAUCACGAAUAUUAUGAACAUUUAUGAUGAUAAUUUUAAAAUUUGUUUUGAGUAUGGAAAUAAACGUGUACGUGUAGGUGUAUAUUCAUGUUAUAACGUUAAUAAAGAUGUACGCGAACGAAUAGAGA